GAUGAAGAACGUAGCGAAAUGCGAUAAGUAAUGUGAAUUGCAGAAUUCAGUGAAUCAUCGAAUCUUUGAACGCACAUUGCGCCCGCCAGUAUUCUGGCGGGCAUGCCUGUUCGAGCGUCAUUACAACCCUCAGGCCCCCGGGCCUGGCGUUGGGGAUCGGCGGAAGCCCCCUGCGGGCACAACGCCGUCCCCCAAAUACAGUGGCGGUCCCGCCGCAGCUUCCAUUGCGUAGUAGCUAACACCUCGCAACUGGAGAGCGGCGCGGCCACGCCGUAAAACACCCAACUUCUGAAUGUUGACCUCGAAUCAGGUAGGAAUACCCGCUGAACUUAAGCAUAUCAAUAAGCCGGAGGA
rnacentral:misc_RNA from 1 species